rnacentral:rRNA from 1 species
UACGGAGGGGGCAAGCGUUGUCCGGACUUACUGGGCGUGAAGGGUGCGUAGGCGGUCUUGUGCGUCGGUGCUGAAAGCGCCCGGCUUAACCGGGCGAGGCGUGCCGAUACGACGAGACUUGAGGGGCAGUGAGGGUGGCGGAACUCCUGGUGUAGUGGUGAAAUGCGCAGAUAUCAGGAGGAACACCAAUGGCGAAGGCAGCACUCUGGGACGGUACUGACGCUGAGACGCGAAAGCGUGGGGAGCAAACAGG